UCAGAAUGUUGCGGUGAAUACGUUCCCGGGCCUUGUACACACCGCCCGUCACACCAUGGGAGUGGGUUGCACCAGAAGUAGAUAGCUUAACCUUCGGGAGGGCGUUUACCACGGUGUGAUUCAUGACUGGAGUGAAGUCGUAACAAGGUAACCCUAGGGGAACCUGGGGUUGGAUCACCUCCUUACCUUAA
rnacentral:rRNA from 1 species